rnacentral:lncRNA from 1 species
UAUAUAUAUUUUAAAGGAUUGAUUAUGAAUUAAGUAAUUUGCUGGAAAAAAAAAAUAUAUGUGUUUAAUUUUCAAUUGUUUUUAAUUGUAAUUUUAUUUAAAGUGGGGUUUUGUAAGAAUAAUGUAGGGGUGCCAAUAGCUCCACUCUUAUUUUAUUUAUAUUUACAAGGUUAGAAGAAUAGAACGGUGGGCCUCUUAAAUUUGAGGAAUCAUGCACUUCCAUUUUGGGCGUUUAUUAGUUUAAAAUUUGUAGCCCAUGGAGAUAAUUUUAUGGGCUCUUGGGCCACUUAUGAAUUUAAUAAAAGAGCAUGUAAAUUAAUUGAGUUAUCAUAAACCAUAACUUAUGGGUUUGCUGUAUGUUAUAUUAUAUGUAAUUUAAUCUGGAACUUAGAACGAAUAUGAAGAAAUUAAUGAUACUUCUUUAUUUUUAAAGUUGUUCUCAAUAAAAUACAAAUGGUACAAAUAUCCAACGAGGAGGAUACAACUCAUGAGUUUUUGUAGUGCAACUAAGCAGUGAUAUGGAAACUAAGUUUACCAUUCUUUAUCUUAAUAGACGUCAUAGUGAGGAUAUGGCAUUGGAUCAACUGUGUUGUCCAGAAGAGAGGAAAUCAAGAUAAUGAAGAGUGACGCCUAACCGCCCAGGAUCUUGACAGAGGGGCAACCGAUCACAUCACAAACUUAUCGUGCAUAUCAUUCAUCAUACAAUGAUUUUGAUCGAGGACAAUUAUCUACCGACUCUU